AAUGGAAGAAGCAACUUAAGAUGCACCAGAUGAGUAAUAGAAAAUCCUAUCCCAAGUAGACUAUGGAGGAGUUGUACCCAGGCCAGUGAAGAGGAGUGGCUAAAAUGCUAUAUAGUCAAGCCGAGCAGUGACAGGUGCAUGCUGGUUGUCUAAGAGCUUCUGCCCAUCUGGACCCUGAAGCAUGAAGAUAGCAAGCAACUUCCCAUGUCUCCAAGGGAAAUGCCUUUCUAUCUGGUCCUCUACUGAAACUGCAGAUCAACCUGAUCACGCAAUUGCAGACCACAUGACCUGUUUGUCCAGUCAAAGACACAGCAGGAAUCUUCAGUCGUGAAGAUUUGCUAACAAUUGCUUGUG
rnacentral:lncRNA from 1 species